ACUGGUUGAUGAAGGCGGCGGUGCCGGUGGAGUUGCAAGCCACCAUGUGGAAGCCCGCCUCGGAGAGCCGGUCGAAAGCUUGCUCCAGAACACUGAAAAAGGUUGCAUAGAGAGGUUGUGGAAUCUCCUUCUCUGGAGAUAUUCAAAACCCACCUGGACGUGAGCCUGUGUAACCUGCUGUGAGUGAACCUGUUAUAGCUUGGACUAGAUGAUCUCCAGAAGCCCUUUCCAACCCCAACCAUUCUAUUUUCUGUGAUUCUGUGACUAAGUAUUUCACCAAACCUCCCUAAGAUCCUGCUUCCUGCUUUAUGGUGAACUUGCCACCGGCUGCCACAAGAGAGGAGCCCCAAAGAAAAGAUACAAGGACUCCCUGAAACAACAUCUCAGCCUUGGCCACAUUGAUCACCAUAACUGGCCUACUCUGGCCUCCAAUCAGGAGGUCUGGAGACACACCAUCUAUAAUGCUGCUGAUGCUUUUGAGAAAGCACCCAGGAUCACUCUUGAGGAGAAACGACAAUGCAGAAAGAAUUGUGCCUUGCAGAAUAUACCACCUAAGGAGUCUUUCUGCUGUGCCUUUUGCAACCAGACAUGUCUAUCUCGUAUUGGCCUUUUUAGCCAUCAACGCACUUGCAACAAACACACCCCCAGUGCAUCCUGACAUGUGUUCACACAGCUACCUCCACUGCUUGUCAUGGGACUCCUUGAGGCUGAACAUGACUCCAAAGAACAUGCAGGAAAGCACCUGCAGACUCAAGCAGCUCUGAUAAACUGCCUGGAAGUGAAAGGGAAACAAUUAAAUGGAGGAAAACAUUAUUUACCCUUCUUCCUAGUUUCUACCACUAUAUUACAUUACAAGAGGGUUCAGGACUCAGGAAUAAAUGUCGACCUAUGAGAACGCAAAGCACAGACUGUAUAUGCGUUUGCAAGUGUGUUGCAGAGGAUCAGAGGAUAAAAGCAAAUUUUAUCUUUUUUAUUAAUUAAUCAACUGCAAAUCUGCUUCUUGUAAUUGUGUAAGGGUUCUAUUAUCUGCUUUCUAGGAAUCAGCUUCCUAUUGGUAUUAAUGAGAAUUAUUUGAGCUUAGUUAUGAUGACAUUAAUUUAGUUACAGAAAAACAUUUAUCUGUUCUAAGUAAUUGAACCGUAGUUUUCUAGGACAUGCAUGUGCCCUUUUUUCAACAACAGACGUAUCUAUGGUUUGCAGGAAUGCUUGCUAAGUACAAUAUGGUAGUUAUUUCAAUGUACAAAGUGGCCAAUCCUUUUUUUCCUUAGUAUUUUCACCACUUGGAACAGCUUAAUUCUGAUUAUGUGAUACACUUCUACCUCAUUGAAAUGUUCUCAUAUGAAAAAUUUUCUUGUGUAGAAAAUGGAACUACAGACGCAAAGUGGAUUUUAUUCAGUGACUCAUCUAUUUCUACUGAUUUCUAGAACAAAUUGUUAUUACCUAGAGUAAAUCCCUAACCACACCUUAUACCUCUGUUGUCCUAAAGUUGUGCUAAUUUGGAAUCUUGAUUUCUGCUGUGGAUGGAUGGCGGGAUAACUGUGUUAAUUGUUCAACAGGCUCAGAUAAAUUUUUACCAGGUAUUACCAGUAUAGUAAUGGUAUAGGGAAGAAGAAGUCAGGAUUGCACCAAAACCUAACCAUACAAGUGUUUCUUGCUUAUUUAACGUGGGAAAUAACAUCCUCAUGAAAUCUGUUUUGUAUUCGCAGCCGGAUGAUAUCUCCCUGGUCCAUGGAGGAAAGUAUAGCUCUUACAUUCCCCUCUUUAUGCAGGCACAUGUAUGACAAUCUUCCAUCUUGAUUUUAAUCAGAGGAAAAUUCAGGCAAAAAAAAAAGCAAGACUGAAAUCUAUUUUAAUCUACUGCAGUGAUUAAAAGGUGAAGUUAUAGUUAAUGGUACUUUGUUUUGAGGAAGGUUGUUACAGCAGCCAAAAGACAUGCACACCUAUAUAUCAUAGAGCACCACCACAUCUAGCAAAAAAAAGCUUGAUGCUGCCAGCUUCCUGGUGAAAAUCCCUCUUAAAUCAUAAUAAAAGACUAAAUCCCUAGCAUAAUACUUUCUGAAAAGAAAAAUACAGCCUGCCAGUAUCCUGCCUUAGCUGGGAGGUAGGGAGGAUUUCAUUCACUCUUUAUCAGUGUUUAUGUCCAUGCCCUUUCUGUACAGAUGGAAAUGUAGUGAAGCAGAAGCUAUUUGGGAAAUAGAAGCAGGCUGGCAAAGACUUACACCAAGAUAUGAAAAUAAAAGGCUCAGUCCUGUGUGUUAGAAAUGACAAUGCAAACUAGCUCCAAAUCUGGAAUGAAUCUUUCACUUUUUCAAGUGCUGUUAGUUUGUUCGUUGGUUGUGGGGUUUUUUCCCACAGUUUCUAGUCUUGAAUACUUAUUAAUAAAAGUUCUUAAUCAAAUGGCUGUCUUAUAUUUCAGUUACAUAACGAAUGGACAGCUGACCAAGGAGAAAAAAACCCUAAGAUGUCAAAUUAUUGUUUCUGAAGGUUUGUUGAAUUUCUAUAAGACUGUUUAAUGUGCCAGUGUCAGCGCUGGCUUCUACCAUGUAUUCUUCUGGCUCCUGUACUAAUAAAUGAUGUCUUCUGAGGGAUUGACACAGUAUGACCUUGGAUAAGAGAGGAUGUUUUGUUUUCUAUUAAAUAUGGUAUAUCUCUGCAGUCUUUCAGAAGUGUGUAUAUCAAAAUAUUGGAAACAAUAAAUGAAAUAAGUAAAUGUUUGCGCCCAAA